ensembl:lncRNA
UGUGCUAUGGGGCAGAGCUCUGUGCUAUGGGGCACUGUGCCCACUCUGUGCUAUGGGGCAGAGCUCUGCGCUAUGGGGCAGUGUGCUCAGUCCUAUGGGGCUCAGCCCCACUUUGUGCUAUGGGGCAGAGCUCUGUGCUAUGGGGCCCAGCUCCACAUUGCGCUAUGGGGCACAGCCCCGUUAGUGCUAUGGGGCACAGCUCUGUGCCGUGGGGCGCUGUGGGGCACAGUGGGGCCCCCCCAUGGCGUCCCCGCCCCAUAGAUGCCGGCAGCCCCUUAUCUCUGCAGUGCAGGUGGGGUGUGUGGGGCGGCGCCGUGGGGCAGUGCCGUGGGGCAGCGCCGUGGGGCAGUACAGUGUGGCAGUAGUAUGGGGCAAAGCCGUGGGGCAGCCCCAUGGGAAAGCGCUGUGGGGCAGAGCUGUGGGGCAGAGCCGUGGGGCAGAGCUGUGGGGCAGCGCCGUGGGGCAGCGCCGUGGGGCAGUGCUGUGGGGCAGUGCUAUGGGUCAGAGCUGUGGGGCAGAACCAUGGGACAAUGUUGUGGGGCGGUGCUAUGGGGCAGAGCUGUGGGGCAGUACAGUGUGGCAGUAGUAUGGGGCAAAGCCGUGGGGCAGCCCCAUGGGACAGUGCUGUGGGGCAGAGCCGUGGGGCAGAGCCGUGGGGCAGUGCUGUGGGGCAGCCCCAUGGGGCAGUGCUAUGGGGCAGUCGUAUGGAGCAGAGCCGUGGGGCAGCCCCAUGGGUCAGUGCUGUGGGGCAGUGCCAUGGGGCAGCGCUGUGGGGCAGUGCUAUGGGGCAGUGCUGUGGGGCAGAACCAUGGGACAAUGUUGUGGGGCAGUGCUGUGGGGCAGUGCUGUGGGGCAGCGCCGUGGGACAGUGCUAUGGGGCAGAGCUGUGGGGCAGAGCUGUGGGGCAGUGCUGUGGGGCAGUGCUAUGGGGCAGUGCUGUGGGGCAGAACCAUGAGACAAUGUUGUGGGGCAGUGCUAUGGGGCAGAGCUGUGGGGCAGCACCGUGGGGCAGUGCUGUGGGGCAGAGCUGUGGGGCAGCGCCGUGGGGCAGCGCCGUGGGGCAGUGCUGUGGGGCAGAGCUGUGGGGCAGCGCCGUGGGGCAGCGCCGUGGGGCAGUGCUGUGGGGCAGUGCUGUGGGGCAGAACCAUGGGACAAUGUUGUGGGGCAGUGCUAUGGGGCAGAGCUGUGGGGCAGCACCGUGGGGCAGUGCCAGGGGGCAGCCCUAUGGGACAGUGCUAUGGGGCAGAGCCGUGGGGCAGAGCUGUGGGGCAGUGCUAUGGGGCAGAGCCGUGGGGCAGCCCCAUGGGGCAGUGCUGUGGGGCAGCGCCGUUGGUUGUGGGGCAGCCGCUAUGGGGCAGCGCCAUUGGUUGUGGGGCAGCCGCUAUGGGGCAGCUCCAUUGGUUGUGGGGCAGCCGCUAUGGGGCAGCGCUGUUGGUUGUGGGGCGGCCGCUAUGGGGCAGCGCUGUUGGUUGUGGGGCGGCCGCUAUGGGGCAGCGGUGCUGGUUGUGGGGCGGCCGCUAUGGGGCAGAGCUGCUGGUUGUGGGGUGCCGCUAUGGGGCAGCGCUGUUGGAUGUGGGGUGGUCGCUAUGGGGCAGCGCUGUUGGGUGUGGGGCAGCCGCUAUGGGGCAGCCGCUAUGGGGCAGUGCUGCUGGUUGUGGGGCGGCCACUAUGGGGCAGAGCUGCUGGUUGUGGGGCAGCCGCUAUGGGGCAGCGCUGCUGGUUGUGGGGCAGCCGCUAUGGGGCAGGCCCCAGGGGUGGGGGCGUGGCCUCAGGAAAGGGGGCGUGGCCUAAGGAUGGGGCAGGAAGAGCGUUGAAUGGCGGUGGGCGUGGCUUAAUGGAAGUGGGCGUGGCCUUAAGGGUAGGGGGCGUGGCCUAAGGGGGCAGCAGAACGGUGGCCAAUGGCGGUGGGCGUGGCUUAAUGGGAGGUGGGCGUGGCCUAAGGGGCAUCAAACGGCGUCCUAUGGUGGUGGGCGUGGCUUAACAGGUGGGCGUGGCCUGAGGGUCUGUGUGUCCUAUGGCGGUGGGCGUGGCCUAAUGGAACAGUGGGCGUGGUCUAUAGUUGUGGGCGUGGCCUAAGGGGGGCAGCAAAACGGUGGCCUAUGGCGGUGGGCGUGGCUUAUCGGGGGUGGGCGUGGCCUAAGGGCAGCAAUACGGUGUCUUAUGGUGGUGGGCGUGGCUUAAGGAGGUGGGCGUGGCCUAAGUUGGCAGCAAAACGGUGUCCAAUGACGGUGGGCGUGGCUUAACGGGGAGGCGGGCGUGGCCUAAUGGGCUACAAACGGUGUCCUAUGACGGUGGGCGUGGCUUAACGGGGAGGUGGGCGUGGCCUAAGCGUGGCCGGCGGGAUUCCUUCGGCGGUGGGCGUGGCUUAAGGGAAGGGGGCGGGCCUAAGGGGCGGCAAAACGGUGUCCAAUGACGGUGGGCGUGGCUUAACGGGGGUGGGCGUGGCCUAAGGGCAGCGAAAAAAACGGUGUCCAAAGAAGUAGGCGUGGCUUAACGGGGGUGGUGGGCGUGGCCUAAGAGUGACGUGAGGAUGUCUUACGGGGGUGGGCGUGGCUUAACGGGGGUGGGCGUGGCCAAAACGUGACAUGAGCGUG